rnacentral:piRNA from 1 species
UAAAUGGCUUUUUUCCAAACU